rnacentral:rRNA from 1 species
AACGAACGCUGGCGGCAUGCCUAACACAUGCAAGUCGAACGAGACCUUCGGGUCUAGUGGCGCACGGGUGCGUAACGCGUGGGAACCUGCCCUUAGGUUCGGAAUAACUCCCCGAAAGGGGUGCUAAUACCGGAUAAUGUCUUCGGACCAAAGAUUUAUCGCCUUUGGAUGGGCCCGCGUUGGAUUAGCUAGUUGGUAGGGUAAAAGCCUACCAAGGCGACGAUCCAUAGCUGGUCUGAGAGGAUGAUCAGCCACACUGGGACUGAGACACGGCCCAGACUGCGAGGGGAGGCAUAGGUGGAGAAGAUGGAACAAGAGGGGAAAGCGUGCUAGAGGAAGGAGGGGUGAGUGAAGAAGGUGUGAGUGAUGAAAUGCCCGUUACAGCGGGAUAAUAAUGACAGGGAGGGGAGAAUAAGGUACGGAAAGCGCCGGGACAGCAGACGGGAAAAUAAGCGGAAUAGAAAACGUAUGAAC